AUGUUCUAUUUUUUAUUUUUUUUCUUUUGAUUUUGUUUUUUCUUUUAAUUUUUAAUUAUGUUUUCUUUUAUUCAUGUUUUAUUUCUUAAUCUUUCUUUGUUAUUAAUCUUUUUUUUUAUCAUAUGCGAUGUUCUAUAAUACAUUAAGUGUUGUUUUAUGGUUAAUUCAGCGAUGUUCACUUAGUAUACAUACAAUGUUCUAUAAUGUAUUGAGUGAUGUUCUAUUGUGAAUUUAGUGAUGUUCGCUUAGUACACAUGUGGUGUUGUAUGAUAUAUCUAGUGAUGUUCACGUAAUAUAUAUACGAUGUUCCAUAAUGUAUUUAAUAGUGUUCUAUAGUGUAUUUAGUGAUGUUCAGUUUAGUACACAUGUGAUGUUUUAUAGUUUAUUUUUAGGAUAUUUUAAAACUAUCCAUAUGAUGUUCUUUUAAAUUUUUCUCUAUUACGUAUUUUUUUUCUUAUGCUUUGCUCUAGAUUUUAUUUUUUUGUUUACAUGAUGUAUUUAUUUAUUUUAAAUAUUAUAAUAUCAGUUUCAUGAAUCUAAACUAGAACACUAUUUUUUAAAGUGAGAACAUUUUUCUUACAAAGAUGGAACAUUUAUUUUCUGAACCUAGAACAUUGUCUAUCAUAAAUAAAAAUGUUAUAUCUUUAUAAGAUAAAUGUUUAUUAAUAAAAUUUUAUCUAAAUAUAUCCAUGUGAGAUGUUGUUUUGAAGGAUUUAUUAUAAGAAACACUAUAGUGUAAUCAGAUUUUAAUUUAGAUAUUUAGUUUAGGAGCUAUGACUUUUUAAAUUUUGUUGAUGAAAGUGGAGAAUAUAAUGAUGAGGUGGGCCCUGUAGGAUGGACAGCCUCUCUGCCAACCGCUAGCUAUGAGACUCUGAUCCUAUAGAAUAGACAGACUUUAUUCUAGUUUGUGCAUGCAUGUCUUAUCUAAAGAUGGCAAUGGGUACCCGACACACGAAACCUGAUGAGUUUUUCUCUAUUAGGGUAAGGAUAUGGGUCAACUUCGCUACCCGUGGGUUUGUUAAUGGGGCAAAAGCUAGACCCAGCGGGUUUAUGGGUAUGGGUCUAGGUGUGUAGUACCCAAACCCGCAAACCCAUGGGUUUUUUAAAACCGGUUCACCAUAUCAUCACACAAUAUAAUUAGUACAUAAAGUACAAAAUGCAAGAAAAUAAACGAAAUAGAGAACAUGCAUGCUCCAUACUUUUUCUAGUAGAAGAAAGUUGCAAAUCUCAUCGUUUCUUUUCUUUUAUUUCUUUCCUUUUUUUCUUUCUUUUUUCAUUUUAUAUUCCAUUUGAUUCUUUUUCUAUCUUUUUUGUACUUUAUUUUUAUUUCCAUGUUUUGUUUUAUAUUCCAUUUGAUUCUUUUUCUAUCUUUUUUGUGCUUUAUUUUUAUUUUCAUUUUUUGUUUUAUAUUAUCCUGUGUUCUGUAUAUUUUAUCUUUUUUCUUAUUGUUAUUAUUUUCUUUGAUGUUCACGUGUUGAUGUUCUAUUUUUUAUUUUUUCUUUUGAUUUUGUUUUUUCUUUUAAUUUUUAAUUAUGUUUUCUUUUAUUCAUGUUUUAUUUCUUAAUCUUUCUUUGUUAUUAAUCUUUUUUUGCAUCAUAUUACAUUAAGUGUUGUUUUAUGGUUAAUUCAGCGAUGUUCACUUAGUAUACAUACAAUGUUCUAUAAUGUAUUGAGUGAUGUUCUAUUGUGAAUUUUAGUGAUGUUCGCUUAGUACACAUGUGGUGUUGUAUGAUAUAUCUAGUGAUGUUUACGUAAUAUAUAUACGAUGUUCCAUAAUGUAUUUAAUAGUGUUCUAUAGUGUAUUUAGUGAUGUUCAGUUUAGUACACAUGUGUUGUUUUAUAGUUUAUUUUUAGGAUGUUUUAAAACUAUCCAUAUGAUGUUCUUUUAAAUUUUUCUCUAUUACGUAUUUUUUUUCUUAUGCUUUGCUCUAGAUUUUAUUUUUUUGUUUACAUGAUGUAUUUAUUUAUUUAUUUAUUUUAAAUAUUAUAAUAUCAGUUUUAUGAAUCUAAAAUAGAACACUAUUUUUUAAAGUGAGAACAUUUUUCUUACGAAGAUGGAACAUUUAUUUUGUGAACCUAGAACAUUGUCUAUCAUAAAUAAAAAUGUUAUAUCAUUAUAAGAUAAAUGUUUAUUAAUAAAAUUUUAUUUAAAUAUAUCCAUGUGAGAUGUUGUUUUGAAGGAUUUAUUAUAAGAAACACUAUAGUGUAAUCGGAUUUUGAUUUAGAUAUUUAGUUUAGGAGCUAUGACUUUUUAAAUUUUGUUGAUGAAAGUAGAGAAUAUAUGGAUGAGGUGGGCCCUGUAGGAUGGACAGCCUCUCUGCCAACCGCUAGCUAUGAGACUCUGAUCCUAUAGAAUAGACAGACUUUAUUCUAGUUUGUGCAUGCAUGUCUUAUCUAAAGAUGGCAAUGGGUACCCGACACCCGAAACAUGAUGAGUUUUUGCUCUAUUAGGGUAAGGAUAUGGGUUGUCACACCUAAUUUCAAGGAAGAAAUUGAAUGCAUAAACUUAUGUGCGCCCAGAGAUCAAUCACACACACAAGUCACAAAUUAAAUACCAUCAUCGCAGUGUUUACAACAAACGUAGUUAUUACAUCACAAAGUCUGGCACGACAGCGAAAAUAUAAAUAUGAUAAUCUAAGAUAACUAUCUCAUGGCCUUCACACAGGGAAGGUCGACUGGUGAAGCACAAGCCUAAUAGUCCUCCGGGUAGUCCUCAUAGCUACCACCAUCUGUUACCCAUCCAGGAUUUUUAUCCAAAAAAAAAUAUACAAGCAUGAGUACAUCUCGUACUCCACAAGCAUAGCAUGAGGAUUUAUGAGGCUCAAACAAGCUAGACUAGGUUUACUGCAUCAGCUUUUUAGUAGGUCAGUGUUUUAUCAUUAAUUAUUUUAGUUUAUGCUUAAGCUCCCAAAUAUCCCAUAUGAUCAGUUAUUAGAACCAUAGUAAGUCAAUAAGUCACAUUAAAGCAUAAUUAUACAUCAUCAUGUACCAUAUAGCCAUCAGUAACCAGUUAUUCUGUGAGUUUUCCGAGCCGCUCGUGACCGUGAGCACGACUGUUAUAACAGUUAUACACUCUGCAGAGGUUGUGCACUUUCACCGUGAGUCGUGUUGCCCAUAUGCCCAGGAUCCGUCGACCCUCAAACACUACCAAGGUGAGCGGGUAGGGUACACUAUGAAGCCUUCCAUAGGCCUAUUCUAACCAGUUAGGGCCGCGAGGUUUCCUCGGCAGGCAGAUGUAGAAAACCCCCCUUUUCUAUGGCACAUUUCCAUCGCGGCUAUACUUAUAGAAACAGGGGCAGCACUACACCCAAAGUGGCAAGCCCCUCUUGCGCCCUUUCGGGUAACCUCUAACGAGUUAGAAAAGAUCCUAUUACUGAGCUAAAGUCAGAGCCAUGUGACUCUGCCGGUUGCACUGUAAGUCCCAGCUUUUGCCGACAGAUAAGUCCUUACGGAGGGUCUAGGACAACAUGACCAACGGUCAUUUGUACCAUAGCCCUAUGUUCCAUUUAUCAUAAUCAUAUUUAAUCAAUUAACCAUGGUUCCAUCACUGAUUUCAGAUCAUAUAUAAUUGGAGUUAGAGCACUAGCACUUCUACCCAUAUGC
rnacentral:lncRNA from 1 species